UACGGAGGAUCCGAGCGUUAUCCGGAUUUAUUGGGUUUAAAGGGUGCGUAGGCGGCCUAUUAAGUCAGGGGUGAAAGACGGUGGCUCAACCAUCGCAGUGCCUUUGAUACUGAUAGGCUUGAAUACACUAGAGGUAGGCGGAAUGUGACAAGUAGCGGUGAAAUGCAUAGAUAUGUCACAGAACACCGAUUGCGAAGGCAGCUUACUAUGGUGUCAUUGACGCUGAGGCACGAAAGCGUGGGGAUCAAACAGG
rnacentral:rRNA from 1 species